rnacentral:snoRNA from 1 species
CUUCAGUGAUGAUACGAUGACGAGUCGGAAGAGAACUGUCUGGUUCUGGUGGAUACUGGUUCAAAUCCACGUUCUGUGGUUCUGUUCCAGUUCCCCAGAGCAGGGAGUCCUUUUCAGUUGAAGACAUAGAGGCAUUUGUCUGAGAAGG